rnacentral:misc_RNA from 1 species
AUCAAUCCAAAACUGUCGUUUUAAAUAUUAAUUAGAAGGCAGUUUAGUUUUUUUUCGACUCAAAUGUGACAUCAAAACACCGCUUAAGAUGAAUUUCUAAAAAUAUACAUGUGCUUCACAUCUCAAUAUUGACCGUUAACGAAAAGCUAUUUGACAAAGUAUUCCUCUUCAGAAAAACCUCUUAAUUCUGUCUUCAAAUUUUCAACAACAAAACAUUGCCCUGCAUUAUAGUGAAUAUGUCGAUUACAAAACUUUUCAAUUUAACCACAUAAUUAUUAUG